CCUACGGGCGGCUGCAGUGGGGAAUAUUGCACAAUGGGCGCAAGCCUGAUGCAGCCAUGCCGCGUGUGUGAAGAAGGCCUUCGGGUUGUAAAGCACUUUCAGCGGGGAGGAAGGCGGUGAGGUUAAUAACCUCAUCGAUUGACGUUACCCGCAGAAGAAGCACCGGCUAACUCCGUGCCAGCAGCCGCGGUAAUACGGAGGGUGCAAGCGUUAAUCGGAAUUACUGGGCGUAAAGCGCACGCAGGCGGUCUGUCAAGUCGGAUGUGAAAUCCCCGGGCUCAACCUGGGAACUGCAUUCGAAACUGGCAGGCUAGAGUCUUGUAGAGGGGGGUAGAAUUCCAGGUGUAGCGGUGAGAUGCGUAGAGAUCUGGAGGAAUACCGGUGGCGAAGGCGGCCCCCUGGACAAAGACUGACGCUCAGGUGCGAAAGCGUGGGGAGCAAACAGGAUUAAUACCCCAGUAGUC
rnacentral:rRNA from 1 species